rnacentral:rRNA from 1 species
UACGUAGGGGGCAAGCGUUGUCCGGAUUUAUUGGGCGUAAAGAGCGUGUAGGCGGUCUGGUAGGUCCGUUGUGAAAACUCGAGGCUCAACCUCGAGACGCCGAUGGAAACCCUCAGACUAGAGUCCGGAAGAGGAGAGUGGAAUUCCUGGUGUAGCGGUGAAAUGCGCAGAUAUCAGGAAGAACACCCGUGGCUAAGGCGGCUCUCUAGUACGUGACUGACGCUGAGACGCGAAAGCGUGGGGAGCGGACAGG